rnacentral:rRNA from 1 species
UGCAAGUUUCCGCACACCCGUGAAAAAGCCCUUUUUCCUUCCCACAGGACAAGGAGCUGGUAUCAGGCACAGACUCCUUGCCCAUAACACCUAGCUACGCCACUCCCCCAAGGGUAUUCAGCAGUGAUAAACAUUGUCAAUAAGCGCCAGCUUGACUCAGCCAGAGUAAUACAGGGCCGGCAAAUCCGGUGCCAGCCGCCGCGGCUACACCGUUAGGCUCAAGUUGACAUAAACCGGCGUUAAGCGUGAUUAAAGUACUACACCAAAUUAAGGUUGAACUUAAACCAAGUUGUGACACACUUGUUCUCAAUGAAACUCAAAACGAAAGUUACCCUAACCAAACUACUUGACUCCACGACAGCUAGAACACAAACUGGGAUUAGGUACCCCACUAUGCCUAGCCGUAAAACAUUAACUUACACUAAAACCGCCAGGGAACUACGAGCCCAAGCUUAAAACCCAAAGGACUUGACGGUGUCCCACCCACCUAGAGGAGCCUGUUCUAUAAUCGAUUCCCCCCGAUUUACCUCACCUUUUCUAGCCUAACAGCCUGUAUACCUCCGUCGUAAGCUUACCGCAUGAACGCACAAUAGUAAGCCAAAAGAUCAAACAUCUAUACGUCAGGUCAAGGUGCAGCCAACGAACAGGAAAGAAAUGGGCUACAAUUUCUAAACAGAACAUACGAAAGACCACAUGAAACACAGUCAUGAAGACGGAUUUAGUAGUAAAAAGAAAAUAGAGUGUUCUUUUUAACCAGGCACUGGGACGCGUACACACCGCCCGUCACCCUCUUCAAACCCCCAAUAAAAGUUACUAACAACUAGUGGCACUAUAGAA